rnacentral:lncRNA from 1 species
CUAAGAGGUCACAGAGUGUUCACAGCAGUGAAAAGAGCAAGAAGCAGCAAACAUCUCUCAGAAAAAAAGUGCCUGGAAGUUACUUGAAACAAGGAGAGCCAGGCAGAGAAGAAAUGACUGCUCUACUUGGUGGACUCAUCCUCCAGCGACAGAACU